rnacentral:rRNA from 1 species
AGUGAACGCUGGCGGUAGGCCUAACACAUGCAAGUCGAACGGCAGCACAGUAAGAGCUUGCUCUUACGGGUGGCGAGUGGAGGACGGGUGAGGAAUACAUCGGAAUCUACUUUUUCGUGGGGGAUAACGUAGGGAAACUUACGCUAAUACCGCAUACGACCUACGGGUGAAAGCAGGGGAUCUUCGGACCUUGCGCGACUGAAUGAGCCGAUGUCGGAUUAGCUAGUUGGCGGGGUAAAGGCCCACCAAGGCGACGAUCCGUAGCUGGUCUGUGAGGAUGAUCAGCCACACUGGAACUGAGACACGGUCCAGACUCCUACGGGAGGCAGCAGUGGGGAAUAUUGGACAAUGGGCGCAAGCCUGAUCCAGCCAUACCGCGUGGGUGAAGAAGGCCUUCGGGUUGUAAAGCCCUUUUGUUGGGAAAGAAAAGCAGCAGGUUAAUACCCCGCUGUUCUGACGGUACCCAAAGAAUAAGCACCGGCUAACUUCGUG